rnacentral:rRNA from 1 species
AGCGAACGCUGGCGGCAGGCCUAACACAUGCAAGUCGAACGGACCCUUCGGGGUUAGUGGCGGACGGGUGAGUAACACGUGGGAACGUGCCUUUAGGUUCGGAAUAGCUCCUGGAAACGGGUGGUAAUGCCGAAUGUGCCCUUCGGGGGAAAGAUUUAUCGCCUUUAGAGCGGCCCGCGUCUGAUUAGCUUGUUGGUGGGGUAAUGGCCCACCAAGGCUACGAUCGGUAGCUGGUCUGAGAGGAUGACCAGCCACAUUGGGACUGAGACACGGCCCAAACUCCUACGGGAGGCAGCAGUGGGGAAUCUUGCGCAAUGGGCGAAAGCCUGACGCAGCCAUGCCGCGUGUAUGAUGAAGGUCUUAGGAUUGUAAAAUACUUUCACCGGAGAAGAUAAUGACUGUAGCCGGAGAAGAAGCCCCGGCUAACUUCGUGCCAGCAGCCGCGGUAAUACGGAGGGGGCUAGCGUUGUUCGGAAUUACUGGGCGUAAAGCGCACGUAGGCGGAACAGAAAGUCAGAGGUGAAAUCCCAGGGCUCAACCUUGGAACUGCCUUUGAAACUCCUGUUCUUGAGGUCGAGAGAGGUGAGUGGAAUUCCGAGUGUAGAGGUGAAAUUCGU